rnacentral:rRNA from 1 species
AAUUGGAGGGCAAGUCUGGUGCCAGCAGCCGCGGUAAUUCCAGCUCCAAUAGCGUAUAUUAAAGUUGUUGCAGUUAAAAAGCUCGUAGUUGAAUUUCGGGAUCGACGUGACGGUCGUGCCUCACGGGGCACGAACUGUCGCUGUCGAUUUCUCACCUUCUGGAGAAGCUCGAUGUCCUUAAUUGGGUGUCUUGCGGAACCAGGACCUUUACCUUGAAAAAAUUAGAGUGUUUAAAGCAGGCAUUUUUUGCUCGAAUACAUUAGCAUGGAAUAAUAGAAUAGGACGGCAUGGUUCUAUUUUGUUGGUUUCUAGGAUCACCGUAAUGAUUAAUAGGGAUAGUUGGGGGCAUUAGUAUUCAAUUGUCAGAGGUGAAAUUCUUGGAUUUAUUGAAGACUAACUACUGCGAAAGCAUUUGCCAAGGAUGUUUUCAUUAAUCAAGAACGAAAGUUAGGGGAUCGAAGACGAUCAGAUACCGUCGUAGUCUUAACCAUAAACUAUGCCGACUAGGAAUCAGACGAUGUUAAUUUUUUAAUGACUCGUUUGGCACCUUACGGGAAACCAAAGUGU